rnacentral:rRNA from 1 species
AAGGGUCCGUAGGCGGGUCAAUAAGUCAGGGGUGAAAGUUUGCAGCUCAACUGUAAAAUUGCCUUUGAUACUGUUGGUCUUGAGUUAUAGUGAAGUUGCCGGAAUAUGUAGUGUAGCGGUGAAAUGCAUAGAUAUUACAUAGAACACCGAUUGCGAAGGCAGGUGACUAACUAUAUACUGACGCUGAUGGACGAAAGCGUGGGGAGCGAACAGGAUUAGAUACCCUGGUAGUCCACGCCGUAAACGAUGGAUACUAGCUGUCCGAGGCCUUGAGUCUUGGGCGGCCAAGCGAAAGUGAUAAGUAUCCCACCUGGGGAGUACGUUCGCAAGAAUGAAACUCAAAGGAAUUGACGGGGGCCCGCACAAGCGGUGGAGCAUGUGGUUUAAUUCGAUGAUACGCGAGGAACCUUACCAGGGCUUAAAUGUAGAUUGACAGGACUAGAGAUAGUUUUUCCUUCGGGCAAUUUACAAGGUGCUGCAUGGUUGUCGUCAGCUCGUGCCGUGAGGUGUCAGGUUAAGUCCUAUAACGAGCGCAACCCCUGCCGUUAGUUGCCAGCAUGUUAAGAUGGGGACUCUAACGGGACUGCCGGUGCAAACCGUGAGGAAGGUGGGGAUGACGUCAAAUCAUCACGGCCCUUACGUCCUGGGCCACACACGUGCUACAAUGGUCGGUACAGAGAGCAGCCAUGUUGCAAGACAGAGCGAAUCUAUAAAACCGAUCACAGUUCGGAUCGGGGUCUGCAACUCGACCCCGUGAAGCUGGAAUCGCUAGUAAUCGGAUAUCAGCCAUGAUCCGGUGAAUACGUUCCCGGGCCUUGUACACACCGCCCGUCAAGCCAUGGAAGCCGGGAGUGCCUGAAGUCCGUCACCGUAAGGAGCGGCCUAGGGCAAGAUCGGUAACUAGG